GUGCCAGCCGCCGCGGUAAUACGGAGGGUGCGAGCGUUAAUCGGAAUUACUGGGCGUAAAGCGCAUGCAGGUGGUUAGUUAAGUCAGAUGUGAAAGCCCGGGGCUCAACCUCGGAAUUGCAUUUGAAACUGGCUGACUAGUGUAUUGUAGAAGGGGGGUAGAAUUUCAGGUGUAGCGGUGAAAUGCGUAGAGAUCUGAAGGAAUACCGGUGGCGAAGGCGGCCCCCUGGACAGAUACUGACACUCAGAUGCGAAAGCGUGGGGAGCAAACAGGAUUAGAAACCCCCGUAGUCC
rnacentral:rRNA from 1 species